ensembl:lncRNA
UGUACAAAGGACCAUCAAUGUUUGUAUUGUUUUAAGACACAUUUAUUUUUGUAACUGUUACAAGAAUUUGUCAGCAUUUUGAUGUUUGUUUCCCUAAAGAUUUUUUCCCCAUCUUGAAAUGUGUCUGAAUGAGAGAUUGUAUGCAUAAAGUCAUUUGCUUACAUUUGUUUUAUGUAAAUUCCUUCUUCUCAUGAGAAGGAUCUAGCUGCCACAGUCUCAACCCGCAGAAGCCCAGUAAUCUCUAGUCAGAAAUACCGUAGUAAUAAUUUAACAGCAAGAGUGUGUGAACACAUCAUUGCUGCUCUCCAAAGGACUGCUUAGUUCAUUCAUUGCUUCAGUCAGGACAAUGUUGUCUGCCCCAGGCAGCAUCUACACAAAAUAAGAGGAAUUCAGACAUGUUCCAAGCAAGAAAACUAGGAAAGGAGCUUUUUUCCAAGCAGGGCAAGCUCAGCUUUUGCUCCAUUCCUCAUCCAAUCCAAGUUUUCAUGGGAUAUCUCUGGAAAAUCUGAGACAGUGUGGCACUUUUAAAGACACGUAGCAUGAAGUCAUCUCUCAAAAGCUAAGAAAAAAUAUUCCUUUUUGGUUGACUUGUACCUUGUUGUGACAUUGGAGCAUAUAACUCCAUUUGCCACAGCUUCACUGCAUCCCCUAAUGAGAGGCACUGUGUUGUUUCAGAUACUCAUAACCAUGAACAGUUCCCAUUACUCUUAUUUUAUGGAGCCUGCACUGAUUUCAUUUCUUCUUAACAGAGAAAGAUGAGAAGUUCCUCUUCGUUUUAUUUUGGUCUCAUUCACUACAAGGUUCAGUUGGUCUGGCUGCAGAAUCUGCAAGGAUAAAUGGAACAGGAGAGAGCUCAAACCAUUCAAGUGUUAAAGCUGCUCUACAAGUUCUCCUCUGCUGCUGGUGGCUUGUCACAGUGUAUCUGCUUCGUUGUGCUGAUGCAGCUGUCUGUGGAAUGGUACUGUAAAUCAGGUUUUUGACAUGAUUAAUGGUUUAAAAAACAGCAGCCUUUUCUGGGAAGGUGGAGAUGUUUUUUUAACCUGCAUCAGUUUGCUACAGCAUGGCAUCAAAGAGAUGCACUGGAACAACUGACAGGAGAAUGAAAUGUGAUUGGGAGGGCAAGAACUUUUUAAACCAGCUUUGCUGCAAGAGCAAACUAAGCAACUGAGUUCCAAGUGCUUUAUGAAUCUGCUAGGUUUUUUGUGAUGUUAAUCUAUAAUUUAGAUCCCUUUUAUUGCAGUGUAAAUAACAAAUGAGCUAUACUGCUCUUGUGCCCAGAGCUGUAGGCCCAGAGCAGAACUGCACUUUGCUAAACAAAGUACAGUAAUAGGAUCGAGAACAUUUCUGCUCCAGCCAGCUGACAAACUAAGUAUAAGACAAGAGACAACAGAUGGAUACACAGGCAAGGAGAAAGGAUCAGGAAAAAAUGAGACAACCCUGGCCAGUGGGAGAGGCCAUUGUCUCAUUGUACUGGGGAAAUAACUGUGCCACGUUUUACUUUCAGCAGUGCUGAUCAUGACACGUGUUUUUCUAAUUCUCUUGGGAACAAAUGCAUUWAACUUGAAGGUAUUGUCAUUGUCACUGACUGACUUCUACAGAAAUGUACUGAAUUUUUAAGCAAAUAGAUCAGAAAAUGCCCAGUGAAGACCAUUUUUCAGACUGUUUUCAAAACUCCAUAUAGAGUUAUGCUGAUUGACACAGGUUUAUGUUCUCUCCCAACUUGACAUGACUGGUGGGUCUUUUUGGAAGCAUUUUGAUGCUUGGCUGUGUGGUUCAAAGAUCUGGUGCUGGUAGGGAUUACACUGUGAUGGUGGGAUGUGCUAAGUGUCCAUCCUCACGGCGUUGUUCCCCUUCAAGGACAAUUUGUGAGAGGUGAAGAAAGUGCAAGCUAUUUGCUUUUCCUUCCCCCAAACUGAAGUAUCUUGCCACAUAAACAUAAGGAAACCUCUGUAAUUCUGGCACCCUGUGCAUAGAUCAUAU